ACGGAGGGUGCAAGCGUUAUCCGGAUUCACUGGGUUUAAAGGGUGCGUAGGCGGGUUUGUAAGUCAGUGGUGAAAUCCCGAAGCUUAACUUCGGAACUGCCGUUGAUACUACAGGUCUUGAAUACUCGGGAGGUGAGCGGAAUAUGUCAUGUAGCGGUGAAAUGCUUAGAUAUGACAUAGAACACCGAUUGCGAAGGCAGCUCACUACAGAGUCAUUGACGCUGAGGCACGAAAGCGUGGGGAUCAAACAGGA
rnacentral:rRNA from 1 species